UUCCAGAAGAAAUCAGUUUCUAAAGACACCAAAUAUGUCAAGAUGAAGUUUGAUUCAAAUUGCAAAGAAUUGCUGCACAUUUAACCAUAUGAUAAUAAAUGGAAUAAAGUGUAAAUCAG